GAUGAACGCUGGCGGCGUGCUUAACACAUGCAAGUCGAACGGAAAGGCCAGUGCUUGCACUGGUGCUCGAGUGGCGAACGGGUGAGUAACACGUGGGUGAUCUGCCCUGCACUUUGGGAUAAGCCUGGGAAACUGGGUCUAAUACCAGAUAGGACCAUGCUUUGGAUGGUGUGGUGGAAAGUUUUUUCGGUGUGGGAUGAGCUUGCGGCCUAUCAGCUUGUUGGUGGGGUAAUGGCCUACCAAGGCGUCGACGGGGAGCCGGCCUGAGAGGGUGUACGGCCACAUUGGGACUGAGCUACGGCCCAGCCUCCUACGGGAGGCAGCAGUGGGGAAUAUUGCACAAUGGGCGCAAGCCUGAUGCAGCGACGCCGCGUGGGGGAUGACGGCCUUCGGGUUGUAAACUCCUUUCGCAACUGACGGAGCUUUUUGUGACGGUAGGUUGAGAAGAAGCACCGGCUAACUACGUG
rnacentral:rRNA from 1 species